rnacentral:rRNA from 1 species
GAUUGAACGCUGGCGGCAUGCUUUACACAUGCAAGUCGAGCGGCAGCGCGGGGGCAACCCCUGGCGGCGAGCGGCGAACGGGUGAGGAACACAUCGGAACGUGCCCCGGAGUGGGGGAUAACGCCGCGAAAGCGGCGCUAAUACCGCAUAUGCUCUGAGGAGGAAAGCGGGGGACCAGCAAUGGCCUCGCGCUCUGGGAGCGGCCGAUGUCCGAUUAGCAGUUGGUGGGGUAAUGGCCCACCAAGGCGACGAUCGGUAGCUGGUCUGAGAGGAUGAUCAGCCACACUGGGACUGAGACACGGCCCAGACUCCUACGGGAGGCAGCAGU